AAGAUCGAGUUGCGGUUUAAGUUG
rnacentral:siRNA from 1 species